UACGAAGGGAGCUAGCGUUGUUCGGAAUUACUGGGCGUAAAGGGUGCGUAGGCGGUUAUGUAAGUCAGAUGUGAAAUCCUUGGGCUUAACCUGAGAAUUGCAUUUGAUACUGCAUUGACUAGAGAUCGAGAGGGGAAAGUGGAAUUACGAGUGUAGAGGUGAAAUUCGUAGAUAUUCGUAAGAACACCAGUGGCGAAGGCGACUUUCUGGCUCGAUACUGACGCUGAAGCACGAAAGCGUGGGGAGCAAACAGG
rnacentral:rRNA from 1 species